GACGAACGCUGGCGGCGUGCUUAACACAUGCAAGUCGAACGGUAAGGCCCCUUCGGGGGUACACGAGUGGCGAACGGGUGAGUAACACGUGAGCAACCUGCCCUUGACACCGGAAUACCAGUUGGAAACAGCUGCUAAUGCCGGAUCCGACCUUUGGUGACAUCACCGAAGGUGGAAAGUGCUUAGCGGUCAAGGAUGGGCUCGCGGCCUAUCAGCUAGUUGGUGAGGUAACGGCUCACCAAGGCUUCGACGGGUAGCCGGCCUGAGAGGGCGACCGGCCACACUGGGACUGAGAUACGGCCCAGACUCCUACGGGAGGCAGCAGUGGGGAAUAUUGCACAAUGGGCGCAAGCCUGAUGCAGCAACGCCGCGUGCGGGAUGACGGCCUUCGGGUUGUAAACCGCUUUCAGUUCCGACGAAGCGCGAGUGACGGUAGGAACAGAAGAAGGACCGGCCAACUACGUGCCAGCAGCCGCCGUAAGAC
rnacentral:rRNA from 1 species